GAAACGUUCUGUAUUAUUUGGGGCAAGCAUUGGAAAGGGUGGGAGGGUAUUCUCUAGGAGUCAGGUGACCAGCCUGCCUGCAGCCCACUCCGCUGGAGGCUUUGGUCCAAUGAGGCAACCACCAAGGGAUAUUAGUCCUGAAAGAGGCACAUGGCCAUUUUUCUUCCUGUAUGUGUGUGUAAAAUAAACCCUUCCUCCUUGUUUUCUAGACCUUGUUCCCAUCAGGAUACCUAAUCCCUCUCACCCAGUGCUCAUCCCUGGGGGCGGAGUCCAUUUUGUCUGGUAAAGAAAACUCAGGUGCUCUUUCACCAAACCACAGGAUUUACAGCUCCCCAAUUGCAGGUGUUAUUCCAGUGACAUCAUCUGAACUCACUGCUGUUAAUUUUCCCUCUUUUCAUGUAACACCGUUGAAGCUAAUGGUCUCACCAACUUCCGUGG
rnacentral:sRNA from 1 species